rnacentral:rRNA from 1 species
CGAAUGGGGAAACCCGGCUGGUUGAAGAUCAGUCAUCAGUCUUAGACUGAAGCAAACCCGGAGAACUGAAACAUCUAAGUACCCGGAGGAGAAGAAAACAAAAGUGAUUUCCAAAGUAGUGGCGAACGAAAUGGAAUUAGCCCAAACCAGUGAUGUUUCGGCAUCAUUGGGGUUGUAGGACUACAAUGUGGACUUAAUUUAUAUAAUAGAAUAAUUUGGAAAGAUUAACCAAAGAGGGUGAUAGUCCCGUAUAUGAAAUAUAGAUUAUACCUAGUAGUAUCCUGAGUAUGGCGGGACAUGUGUAAUCCUGUCUGAAUCUGGCGGACCCUCCGGCUAAGGCUAAAU